rnacentral:lncRNA from 1 species
AGUAUCUUUUGGCUUUGUGAUAAUAACCACAACCUGAGGAUGAUCGGAUGAUGAGUGCGGUUUUGACUUGCAUUUCCCUGAUCCUGGAGUGGCUGCUCCCUGAAGAGAGUCCUGGUCCUAGGAAUCUGGGAUUCUACCUGAAGUCCCAAAGAUGAACAAAUGGUAGAGAGGCACCUGACUGAGCCUGCUUCCUAACCGACUUCUCAGAACUGCCUGCCGCUGGACUGCCUAACAGAAGCUCAAGUUCUGGGAUUCCACCCUUGAAGAGAAAUGAAUCUGCACUUAACUUAGUGAGCCCUGUAGGUCAGGACAUGUAGUUCUUGCUACCCUGAAGCUCACUAUGUACGACAGACUGGCCCGAACACACUGAGAUCUGCCUGGUUCUGCCUCCCCAGUGCUGAGAUCAAAGGCACGCGUAUAGUUAGGGUAUAGGACUUUUACUUAUAUGUUAUGGCUCUAGGUUUGUUUUCAUGGGAUUCCUGAUUGUGCCAGCAAUUGGGUCUCUGUGUCUACAUCUGUUUCUUUUGCCUUUUCUUUGACUCCCUUUCUUUUGUUUGUUUCUUUUGCCCUAUUCUGACGUGUUAGUUUUUGUUUUAUCUUAUUAUAUUUUAUUAUUAUUUUAUUAUUAUUCAUCAAGUUCCCUCUGUUUUCUAAAGAGAAACAGAAAGGUGGUGAAUUUGCAUGGGGUGGGAGACAUAGAAGAACUGGGAGGAGUAAAGAGAGAAGAGAUCAUAAUCAGGAUAUAUUGUAUGAAAAAAAACAGACCAU